rnacentral:rRNA from 1 species
UACGUAGGGGGCUAGCGUUGUCCGGAUUUAUUGGGCGUAAAGAGCUCGUAGGCGGCUUGUUGCGUCAGCUGUGAAAACCCGCAGCUCAACUGUGGGCUUGCAGCUGAUACGGGCAGGCUUGAGUUCGGUAGGGGAGACUGGAAUUCCUGGUGUAGCGGUGAAAUGCGCAGAUAUCAAGAAGAACACCGGUGGCGAAGGCGGCUCUCUGGAAUGCAACUGACACUGAGGCACGAAAGCUGGGGAAGCAAACAGG